GGUGGUUCUCAGGUGAUGCACCCUGGAACCAGAGAGGAGGGAGCCCGAUUCUGGGGUGCAUCACCUGAGAACUGCC
rfam:Myotis davidii contig180271, whole genome shotgun sequence.